UGUUCUCUCUCGCCAUCGCCAUAUUGAUAUAAAAGUUUGUCUUGUGAAAUACACGAUGUGCAGUAUUCCUGUAUGAUGUAGUUAUCCAAUCCUUCUUGUUGUGUCAAAUAUAAAUUUUAAUUUUUAGUUAUUAAAUUCUACGUGAAAAGAUCAUAUUAAUACAUAUAAUUAUAUAUUGAAAGCUAGCUUUUGAAUUAAAACCAUGUGAAUUGAAUCUUCGGAUAUAUAAUAGUAACGUCAAUAAAUUUUGGUUUAGGUUUUCAAAUACACAUUUGCAUUGAAACUUGAAGCAGUUUUAUUUUAAGGACGCUACUGAUUUUCACAUACGUAUUUGCAUAGAAUCUUGAAGUUUAUUUUUAAGAAGGCUUCUAACAAGUUUAAAGUUAUCAAGAAUUUUGUUUCAUAUAAUUCUGCUAUUAGAGAAACAUAAUAAGUUUUAAAUUCUGGAAAGAUAUUUGCAUUUUUGAGCAUACGGCAUUUUCCGGGACCGCUAAACUUUUUAUAAGAUUAAAACGAUUUAAAUUGUAUCUUCAGCUAUAAUGCAUUAAUUUUGGUUUGAAUGUCCACACACAUCAAUGCAUUAAUGGUUGAAAUAAUAAUUCUAUU